CCUACGGGAGGCAGCAGUGAGGAAUAUUGGUCAAUGGUCGGGAGACUGAACCAGCCAAGCCGCGUGAGGGAGGAAGGUACAGAGUAUCGUAAACCUCUUUUGUCAGGGAACAAAGGCGGGGACGUGUCCCCGGAUGAGUGUACCCGAAGAAAAAGCAUCGGCUAACUCCGUGCCAGCAGCCGCGGUAAUACGGAGGAUGCGAGCGUUAUCCGGAUUUAUUGGGUUUAAAGGGUGCGCAGGCGGUCUGUUAAGUCAGUGGUAAAAGCCCGGGGCUCAACCCCGGCCCGCCGUUGAAACUGGCAGUCUCGAGUUGGAGAGAAGUAUGCGGAAUGCGCGGUGUAGCGGUGAAAUGCAUAGAUAUCGCGCAGAACUCCGAUUGCGAAGGCAGCAUGCCGGCUCCACACUGACGCUGAGGCACGAAAGCGUGGGUAUCGAACAGGAUUAGAUACCCUAGUAGUC
rnacentral:rRNA from 1 species